GUCUAUGGCGGACCGUGCGAGGCGGACGCAAGUCCGGCCGGCUGGCUAGCUCCGGUUUUCCACCCUCGCACGGUCCGCCACCCAA
rnacentral:antisense_RNA from 1 species